UUAAGUUCAGCGGGUCUUCCUGCCUGAUUUGAGACCAUGGUUCAAGUCAGCCCAAAGGCCAACUUUAAUAGUUGAGUGCCGGACAAGCACCAUCACCCGUACUAAGUACUAGAGAAACCAAAGUUCCAUACACAUACUUUUCCGUUACUUGACAGUAUCCAGCAGCUAUAGUUUUAAAAGCACGCAGGGUUAGUGCGACG
rnacentral:misc_RNA from 1 species